rnacentral:rRNA from 2 species
UACGGGGGGGGCAAGCGUUGUUCGGAAUUACUGGGCGUAAAGGGCUCGUAGGCGGCCAACUAAGUCAGACGUGAAAUCCCCAGGCUCAACCUGGGAACUGCGUCUGAUACUGGAUGGCUUGAAUUCGGGAGAGGGAUGCAGAAUUCCAGGUGUAGCGGUGAAAUGCGUAGAUAUCUGGAGGAAUACCGGUGGCGAAGGCGGCAUCCUGGACCGACAUUGACGCUGAUGAGCGAAAGCUAGGGGAGCAAACGGG